rnacentral:rRNA from 1 species
GCAGUCGAACGAUGAUGCCCAGCUUGCUGGGCGGAUUAGUGGCGAACGGGUGAGUAAUACGUGAGUAACCUGCCCUUGACUCUGGGAUAAGCCUGGGAAACUGGGUCUAAUACUGGAUACUACCUCUUGCCGCAUGGUGGGUGGUGGAAAGGGUUUUACUGGUUUUGGAUGGGCUCACGGCCUAUCAGCUUGUUGGUGGGGUAAUGGCUCACCAAGGCGACGACGGGUAGCCGGCCUGAGAGGGUGACCGGCCACACUGGGACUGAGACACGGCCCAGACUCCUACGGGAGGCAGCAGUGGGGAAUAUUGCACAAUGGGCGGAAGCCUGAUGCAGCGACGCCGCGUGAGGGAUGACGGCCUUCGGGUUGUAAACCUCUUUCAGUAGGGAAGAAGCGAGAGUGACGGUACCUGCAGAAGAAGCGCCGGCUAACUACGUGCCAGCAGCCGCGGUAAUACGUAGGGCGCAAGCGUUGUCCGGAAUUAUUGGGCGUAAAGAGCUCGUAGGCGGUUUGUCGCGUCUGCUGUGAAAGCCCGGGGCUCAACCCCGGGUCUGCAGUGGGUACGGGCAGACUAGAGUGCAGUAGGGGAGACUGGAAUUCCUGGUGUAGCGGUGAAAUGCGCAGAUAUCAGGAGGAACACCGAUGGCGAAGGCAGGUCUCUGGGCUGUUACUGACGCUGAGGAGCGAAAGCAUGGGGAGCGAACAGGAUUAGAUACCCUGGUAGUCCAUGCCGUAAACGUUGGGCACUAGGUGUGGGGGACAUUCCACGUUUUCCGCGCCGUAGCUAACGCAUUAAGUGCCCCGCCUGGGGAGUACGGCCGCAAGGCUAAAACUCAAAGGAAUUGACGGGGGCCCGCACAAGCGGCGGAGCAUGCGGAUUAAUUCGAUGCAACGCGAAGAACCUUACCAAGGCUUGACAUUCACCGGACCGCCCCAGAGAUGGGGUUUCCCUUCGGGGCUGGUGGACAGGUGGUGCAUGGUUGUCGUCAGCUCGUGUCGUGAGAUGUUGGGUUAAGUCCCGCAACGAGCGCAACCCUCGUUCUAUGUUGCCAGCACGUGAUGGUGGGGACUCAUAGGAGACUGCCGGGGUCAACUCGGAGGAAGGUGGGGAUGACGUCAAAUCAUCAUGCCCCUUAUGUCUUGGGCUUCACGCAUGCUACAAUGGCCGGUACAAAGGGUUGCGAUACUGUGAGGUGGAGCUAAUCCCAAAAAGCCGGUCUCAGUUCGGAUUGAGGUCUGCAACUCGACCUCAUGAAGUCGGAGUCGCUAGUAAUCGCAGAUCAGCAACGCUGCGGUGAAUACGUUCCCGGGCCUUGUACACACCGCCCGUCAAGUCACGAAAGUUGGUAACACCCGAAGCCGGUGGCCUAACCCCUUGUGGGAGGGAGCCGUCGAAGGUGGGACUGGCGA